GCGGGAACCCAGGGGCCUCCAUGGCUGGGGGUUUGCAGGCAGGGACCCAGGGGCCGGUUGGUGCUUCCCAAACUCCUCCUCAGGGGGCCUGGGGCUAAAACCAGACACAGGACUCCAGAUGUGGCUGCACCGGCACUGAAUGAAGUGGAACAAUCACUUCCCUCCAUCUGCUGGUAAUGCUCCUACUCAUGCAGCCCAGUAUGCUGUUAACCUUCUUUGCAUCAAGGGUGAGGUCCAAUGACAAGGGUUUUUGGACUACUAGACUAUGCCCCUGAAUGCCCCGGUGAAACCUCUGCUUGGCAGGAUAGGGAACAAGACUCGCUUGCAAGGCAACUAGUGCAAGGAAGUGUGUGCUGUCUGCUGAAUAAAUCUACAUGAGUGGAGUGGAAA